rnacentral:tRNA from 1 species
GGGCUAAUAGAGUAUCUCAGCAACUCAUAAUCCUUUGGUCCACGGUUCGAGUCCGUGUGGGCCCACCA